rnacentral:rRNA from 1 species
UACGUAGGGCGCAAGCGUUGUCUGGAAUUAUUGGGCGUAAAGAGCUCGUAGGCGGUCUGUCGCGUCCGUUGUGAAAACUCGAGGCUCAACCUCGGGCUUGCAGUGGAUACGGGCAGACUUGAGUUCGGCAGGGGGAGACUGGAAUUCCUGGUGUAGCGGUGAAAUGCGCAGAUAUCAGGAGGAACACCGGUGGCGAAGGCGGGUCUCUGGGCCGAUACUGACGCUGAGGAGCGAAAGCGUGGGGAGCGAACAGG